AGUGAACGCCGGCGGUAGGCCUAACACAUGCAAGUCGAACGGCAGCACAGUAAGAGCUUGCUCUUACGGGUGGCGAGUGGCGGACGGGUGAGGAAUACAUCGGAAUCUACUUUUUCGUGGGGGAUAACGUAGGGAAACUUACGCUAAUACCGCAUACGACCUACGGGUGAAAGCAGGGGAUCUUCGGACCUUGCGCGAUUGAACGAGCCGAUGUCGGAUUAGCUAGUUGGCGGGGUAAAGGCCCACCAAGGCGACGAUCCGUAGCUGGUCUGAGAGGAUGAUCAGCCACACUGGAACUGAGACACGGUCCAGACUCCUACGGGAGGCAGCAGUGGGGAAUAUUGGACAAUGGGCGCAAGCCUGAUCCAGCCAUACCGCGUGGGUGAAGAAGGCCUUCGGGUUGUAAAGCCCUUUUGUUGGGAAAGAAAAGCAGCAGGUUAAUACCCCGCUGUUCUGACGGUACCCAAAGAAUAAGCACCGGCUAACUUCGU
rnacentral:rRNA from 1 species